UACGGGGGGGGCAAGCGUUGUUCGGAAUUACUGGGCGUAAAGGGCUCGUAGGCGGCCAACUAAGUCAGACGUGAAAUCCCUCGGCUUAACCGGGGAACUGCGUCUGAUACUGGAUGGCUUGAGGUUGGGAGAGGGAUGCGGAAUUCCCGGUGUAGUGGUGAAAUGCGUAGAUAUCGGGAGGAACACCAGUGGCGAAGGCGGCAUCCUGGCCAUGUACUGACGCUCAGGGGCGAAAGCGUGGGGAGCAAACCGG
rnacentral:rRNA from 1 species